GCCCCAGAGCACGUGGCGGCUGGAGGGAGGGGCCUCUUGCUUUCCGGCCACGCCCCCUUCAUGGGGUCGUGGGAGCGUGGAUUCCCCCAGCACACAGACACUCCCCCCGCUCGUCUCGGGCCCAGCUGCUCCCAGCCAGAUCCAGUCUGUGACCCCGACCCCGCUUUGGCAGCACCCCAAGGCCAGUCCAGCCGCUUGUGGCUUGGGUGCUUCACUGCUGUGGCCCCCUGUUGCCGCGUCUGAAUCCCUUGUGCUGGAUCCAGCCUGUGGGCCGGGGUGGAGGCACCCCUGCUCCAGGCGGAGGUGUUUUCGUCCCCAGGGCAGGAUGCUCUGAACCUGCUGCCACAUUUGCCCCGUCUCCUAGUGAGAAUCACGACAGUGGGGUCUCUGCCAACCGCCCCCCACACCUGGAGUCGUUCCCUGACGGAAAAGAUCCGCUUGGCUCUUGCAAAAACGUGCUUCCAGGCCUCCCGGGGGGGCAGACGACCCCCGAUCCCGGCAGGACAAAGAACAGUAGUCGUCAGGGCAGUGUAGCGCAACAGGCCCCUGGCUGCCUCCUCCAUCAUCCUCAGCUCCGGUCUCCUGUGUGCCUUCGUCCUCCAUCCACCGUUGAUGUCUAUAGGUCGCUUGUCCAUCGUCUCCUGGUUGUCCAGGCUCCCUUCUCCCCUCCUGGACCCCCAGGAGCACUUCCUCGCUGUCCACAUCGCUUCCGAUCUUUCCACGUGGCCCAGGCGCUGCCGUCUGCUCCCAUGUCCUGCGUCAGGACAACUGGCAGAACUCGUUAUUGGUUCGUACGCACCAUUCCUGUGUUGUGAAGCUGAACCGACCCAUUUCUAAUGUCUGAUGGUUUUCAGCUGCUGCUGCCAGACCUCUGGAAACACUCAGCUCGUUCUUGGCGCACAGCUGCUUGCUCGGUUCCUUUCCCUGCGAGCGUACGUUUCUCCAUGUCUCCGAUUCAAAAAGAAAGGGAUGUCAGGUUUGUUCCCCACAGCCGCAGAAGAGCUUAGUAGCUGUGUCUGGCUUUCGGCAUCGCAUAAGGAGGAUCUGCAACCCAGGGAGGUAGGAGAGAGAAAUGAAAUGAUGAAAAGAGAGGAGUGGAGGAAUUGAGGAGGAGCAAGAAAUAAGCUAGAUUAGUAGGUGUGGGAACUACAGGCCAAAAGGUGGAGAUAGGAGAAAAUAACAGUGGUUUAGGGGAGUCAAAUUAGCAGCAGCUGGGAAAAAGAUGGGGCGGCUGAACACUGCAAUGUGCCACAGAGCUUUCACAUGUGGCUCUGUCUAACCAGCCCUAUUCUUACCCCACCGUGGUGCAGAAUUACAAAUCAGAACUCCAAAAGAAAAGAACAUGAUACCACAGAGUUAACGCUGCCAUGGAUCUGGAGAGACGUGUUCCUUCUGGCCUACCUGCAAAGUACUUAUAGUCCUGACGAUCCUGCACUGAGCCCGGAUAUGCCUGUACUUACUGCAUGGUGAUCGAGAGACACAGCCAGGAAAUAAGUCCCACUCAUUCCUGCUCUGCAUUUGCCUCUUGUAAAAAAAUACCAUCUAGUCACAGUUGGGGCCAUGUUUGGGGCUGCUCUUAGGAUCUCUGUCUUGGGUGUGCUCCUGGGAGCGGGGUUGAGCGCUCCUGGCACUGCUUUAAUGGGGAUCACGUGAUGUUCUUCCAGCAUGUGAAACUGAAGCCAAUGGGCAGGCUUAUUUCUUGGCAGCGAUCUUGGGAAGCUGAGACAUAUCCUUCUUUUUACAGUGCAUAUUAGAGGGAGAGAGAGAGCCAUGAUCUUUUUCAUUGAACAAAGGUUUGGGAACCUGCAAAGGCUGAAAAAGAUCUGAAAAACAGUGACCUGACUCUGACUGGGAUUUCUUCCUGUUAUCACAAUAGGUAUAAUAACAAAUGUAAAUACAAAUGCACCCGCUCAAGCUCCUGCCACAUCACCAGACUAGCAAAACUUUUUCUGCUGAAGUGAAACAGUUUCAGUUUUGGGUGCUAAAUUAAAGAUGCGGGCCCUUGUCUUACAACCACAGAUGUAAGUGAUUUUACUCGCAUGACUAAAUUGCACAUCUGUUUAGCUCAACAGAACUACUUGGAUGAGUAAAGGUCUUUAUCUUUGUAAGUAUUUGCAGAAGUAGGGCCUUAGUUGGUACACAAUUACUAGUCCCUUGAGAAAUCUGGAAGCAACUCACCCACAUAGAGUUACUAUUUCAAGCAGCAGAUUCAUUGAGGCCCCCAGCCUGUGAACCCUUACACAUGAACUUAAUUUUAAGCACAUGGGCUGCCUCUAGUUUGUUAAUGAGUGAAGUCAGUAUUAGCAUUCAGAGACUUAAAGCACAUUUGUCUGUAGGAGCAGUGCUGUAUAUUUGGAAGGUUUUCUUUUCCUCCCCAAAAAGUAGGAAGCAAGUUUUUGUUUUGGAACUAAGUUUCAGGCAGGGCUGCAACCAAGUACCUGGCUCAAACCGUCUGUGCCUACAGACAGGGUAAAGAGCUCUCCAGUGGGCUAUUCUGCAGCUCCGCUCAUCCUUACAUAGAAACUGGAGCAGACUAGUCUAUUUAGACAAGUAUCCUUGCUCUGACAGCAACAGAGUUUGAAUAAUGCAUCUCGGAUUUGUUUUCAUGCCUCCUUUGUUUAACUGGGCUGCACAAGAGACCAGGAAGGUGCCUGAUGGCAUAUUUUAUUCUAUAAACCUUCCCUGGCUUACUUGGAUUGCCUUAGUAAUAGCUAAUAAUUGCUAUCAAUAUUAUGAAACAAUCCCGACCGGCUUCUGCAGACUUAUCUCUUCCCAUGGCAAGGCUCAGGCUAAAGAAUCCAGAACUAGGUGGAAGAACAACUAGAGCAGGACAGUAAACACAGCAGUGCUUCAGGAAAGAGGCCCUGUUACAACCGCAUUUUCCCUAGGCCUCAAUUGCUCUAAACCAGUGGCUCAGUCCUGAUGGACUCAGGAGCUACGUGAGAAGCCAGUGGAACCAGAGCCACAAAAACCUAGACACUUGGAUAAAAUGUGAGAAGCCUCACUAGUGCUUACUAAAUCUAUUAUGCACAUGCUUUAAACCACUGCAAAUAUGUUACCAAAACCCUGCUUUAUUGGACACAUAUAUGAGGAUCACUGUGAAGCCUAUGGUGCUGUCUGCUCGUUCUGUCAAAGGGGUUUCAAAGACACAGGUCAGGCUUUUGGUGUCUUUAAAAAAAUAACCAGAAAGCUCAGGGCAGACGUGGUCCUUCAGCCCCAGACAGGGCCGGCCCGUUCUAUCCUGCAGAAUCUGCGGGUGCAGGGGGCCCUGCAGCCAAGGGGCCGUGUCCCGCUUGCCCCCUGCCGCCUGUGCCAUGUUUAAAGGGUUCAAUGCAGGCAGGGAGCCUCUUCCCAGCUGAGUGGGGGAGGAGUCCCUGGCUCCUCUCCUGUCUUGCCCUGGGAGGAAACCCAGGCAUCCCUAGCACAUGCUGCCCCCACCCCGCGCCCCCCACAGUGCAGCCCAUGAGCAUGCAGCCCGGCCCCAACUAUUCUAUUUCAGUGAGUUUAUACCACAAUUAACUGCAAUUUUGAUUUUUUGAUGGAUCAGGGGGCCCCAAAACUAUAUCUUGCAGGGGGCCCCAAAAAUGGGGCAGUGGCCCUGGCCCCAGACAAGAAGAAGACAACUCUGAACAUGACUGCUCAUUUGCAUGUCUGAUGGAGCUUGGUGUUGGGCAAUGGUCUAACCAGGUCUAUAGCUAAAAGACCUGGAAGAGGAGUAAGGAAUCAGAACUUGUGGCAAAGGUGAUACCUUUUAUUAGACCAACUAGAUAUUUAAAAAAAAAAUUCUUUAUUUGCAAGCUUUUGGGCACACACACCUUUCCUCCAGCAUAGGAGAAUGCGAAGAUUGUAAAUUUUCUCUUAGGUGGAAAUGAAAAUUCAUAUUUCACAGGAGAGCUGAAGGUGUUGUAAGAUCUCCUGGUUGGAAUAGGUCAUUUGGUGCAAAUUAGGCUCAAAUAAAAGUUGGAGCAGCCUAUUUACCUCAAUGUUGUCUGGUGUCAAGCAGGAUGUUGAAUUAUGUUUCCUUCUGGUGGUGAUCUUUCAUAUUUCUCAGGAGAGUGGGGUGAUAGAGCGUUCUUCUGGGCAAGGAAUUUCUCUUGUAUUUAGGCAGCUUUGAGCUCUGUGAACAUGCAGGUUUAGUUGGAACAAUAGGUACAAUAGGAGCUGGGGUGUCAGCUUUCAAGUUAAAAGGUGGUGAAUUUACUUUCUUCUUGUAAAAUUAUGAAGUUUUCAUUUAAAAAGUGACUAAAUUUGAUCUCUUCCAUAUGGCUGGUCCAGGGAUGCAAGUUGUAGCCAUAUUGGUCUAAAGGCAAAAGGAAUCCGAACUCGUGGCUUGUGCCUGCAGACCAAUACCACUACAACCUGCAUCCCUGGAAGAGGAGUAAGUCAUUCACUGGGCUGAAAAAACCCCAUUCACUGUAGUGUGCCAGAGACGCACUGAAUUUGGCACAAGGUGGCUGCAUCAAUGCAAAUAGGGUCUGUCUUGGAGAGUAAAGGCCAAUAACAGAUACUGGUUAUAAGAAGGGGUAAGACUGCCCUGUUAGCUCGUCUAUCGGGUUAGUGCCAACAGCAUAGCAGCAGGUUCUGUCUCACAUGCUACAUUAAUUGAAUAAAAUACAUUUCUUUCUUCAGUCCCCAUCCCCAAAUCUAUCCAUACUAUCUCUUUCUUCUCAAGUCCUUCCAAACCGCGUUGACUGAUUAUUUCCUUGUGCUUUCCCCGCUUCCCCUAGUAGCUCUCUGAGGUGGUUCCACCUCAACACUUAUCUUUCUAACACUUUAUCUGUGGUGUUUAGGGCCAUGAGGAUUCAACGAAAGAGUUUAUACAAACAAGAAGGGAUCAAGACAUCUGUUUCCCCUGAAUAUUGGUAUAAAACCACUGGGGUGUAAGCCCAGGGAAAGCAGGAUAAGAGUUUAGAAAAAAAUAGCUAUGAUGUACAUGUAAACUGGCACAAGCAACCUGCUAGCGUGUCAUGCUGGUCUGCCUUGAGAAUAAGAACCUCACUGCUGUCAGCUAACAGAGGUCCUCCGAUAGCUGCACAGGGAGAGAUUCAGCCCCUGCUUAGGACCCUUGGGUGCUGGUUCUUAUCUAUACUUGAUAGCUGUUUGCUGAAGCUGUAGUUCACGAGGUGGGUAGUGGGGAGAGUGUGACAUUACACAAUACGAAUCAACAAAGAUCUGUGCAUUACACAGCACUAGUCAGAAAGACCGGCGCAUUACACAAUUCUGUCAUCAUAGAAAUACUACAGGCUGUUUACAGAUUUCUUUUAAUGCUUCUAAGCACUCUCCUGGAUCAUCCCAGUAGUCAUGUUUUAUUAUGGUGAGGGAAAAGGCUUCUUGUAUUGUUGCAAAAACAUUGCAUUAGAAAGACUUUUAAUAACUCAGGAACUCUACUCUUAACUUCGUAUGGGGGAUUUUCUUUAAAGAUGUAUUUUGAAAUCAUUGACAUUUGCAUACCAUGCAGCCCAUAAAAUGUAUUUAAUACUACAGCAUAAAAACGAGGGGGAGGGUUAUGACAGUUGCUAUAGAAACCAAGCAUUUACUAUUUAAUAACACCCAUGUACAGCCUGGCACUGACAAGGUAUUCCUGUCUUUGCAGUAAUACAGGUAUUUUGUUGCAUUCUAAGGAGUCGAUUGGUUAUAAAUGAAUGUGAUUGUGUUACGUCUACAAAGGUGCUUUCUGCAGCCAAUUCUGCUUUUUUUAGGGAACAACCAAUCCCAUAAGAACAAAGCAGCCUGUAGCAGGUACAGGUUAGUGAAAUAGGUCCUUUAUUGCAUGCUCAUUCUGGGACUCUGGCAUUAGACCUUUGGUUGGAUUCUGGCCCUUUGCUGCUCUACAGCUUUUGUUUCGUCCUGCUCAGAGGCUGAUUCCAGAGCACUGUUCUGCUUUCAGAGUCAGUGUUUCAAACGGUGUAAUGCCAUUUCCAGAAGUUCUGUCUGUGAAAGGCACAAUGCAAAAAAAAAAAUCUUCAAAGGGACAGUUAGUGCAGUAUUGUCCAUCCUAACUGCUAGAAAUCAGACCAAAAAAAAUGAUGAGUUUGAGUUAAAUGUCUGUACACUAAGUUCUUUUUACUUGUCCUUUGGUUUCUGAGCCUAUAAGCUGCACUUUGGCCACAUGUCCAAGCUUCCCUUAAAUGAGGGCUUAGAAAUACCUUUUUAUAAAACCUGAAAAAUGAUAUUUUCAUGCACUCCCUAAAGUCUAGCAGCCGGGGCUUUAAGAACAACACUGAAUCUCAUGAAACUUGAAAUAAACAUCACAAGACUUAGUAACGCAGUAGUGAGCAGUAAUGCAGGUAUGUAUGGAGGGAGAUACUCUUUCAGUGGUUGUUUAGAGUUUAGAUACCAAAGGUGAUGGGCUCUGUAGAAAUGCCUCCAAUUGCAGGUUUGCGGACUGGAGGUUGCAUCCUCCCUUGGCAAUUAUAACAGAUCCUGCUGGGUUACAAUCACAACAGUCCCUUGUAUAGUAAAUAGGGAGGUCUUGACAUCCUUUCCUGUUGUAAAACAACCAGCGAGAGGAAACACUGAGAGCCACUGCCUUGGAUACAUAAAUCUUUCAACUCCACCUUACACAUGGCUCGGCUGGUCUUGACAGGCUCAGAGGUGGAGAGCAUUAUCUCCUAUGGGACAUCACCAAAACCAGUCAUUCUGCAGUGCUGGAGUUGUCUUCUCCCUUCAACCCCCCUCUCCAGCCCUUAGAAACUUGUAUAUUAGAAACAAAUGCAUAUCUCAGUUUUGCUUCUCUCCUUUUUAACUAAAUCAUGAUUUGCUUUCUCCCAUACAGCCCUGUGAGACAUGAGUUAACAUCCCUGGUGAUCAGGACUCAUAGUAGAGAUGAUAUUUUUGUUAGACCAACAAGAUUUUUGCAAAAAAAAAAAUUUAAUUGCAAGCUUUUGGGUACAAACACCCUUCAUCAGACAUUGAAUGGAACACCCUUCAUCAGGUGUUCAUCAGGCACAAACACCUGAUGAAGGGUGUUUGUGCCCGAAAGCUUGCAAUUUAAGAAAAAAAAUUUUUUUUUUAAGAAUUUUUUGCAAAAAUCUUGUUGAUCUAAUAAAAGAUAUCAUCUCUACUAAGAGUCCUGAUUGCCUUUUGCUCGAAACCAGUACAGCUACAACCUGAAUACCUGACACAUCUUUGGUGAAGCACAGGUUAAAAUUGUCUUCUUGCUUUUCUCUCUUUCCACACCACCCACACACACCCACAGUCACACACACCCAUGCCCACCCUUUUUUUGAGUGAGGAAGAUCUGUGUCAUGGAAUCUGACAAAUUUGAAUUAACAAGCAGAGCAGAAUUGAGAGACAUGCUUUUUCUUUCCAUGGCUGAGAGAUCCAGUGUGACCACUGAUGAAAUAGAUUGGGUUGUGGUGCCCUCUCGUGGCCAUGUGCACUGCAUUAAAUGAAGCACGAAUCAGUUCUUUUUCGCUGGGAAAGUGCAUUUGGUAGUCAAGCUGACAACAAAUCUAUCAGCUAAAUAGUUUCAAGGUACUUCCAAGUAUGCUCAGGCAAUAGCCAUUGGCAUCUUUGCAUAUCAAAACAGUUAUAUUUGGGAUGAUAUUUGGGAGACUCUGCUGCUCUCCCAAUGUCUGAGGAAGAGCGUCUGUGCCCGAAAGUUUGCAAAGACCAUUUUUUCCAACUAUUUAGUCUGUCUAAUAAAAGAUAUCACAUCUGCCCAAAGAACCUUGCCUACCUUUGUCCUGAUGUAGCAAAUCCCCCAGUUUUAAAAAAAAAAAAAUACAUUCCCUCCCCUUUCCCUAACCAUUUCUGACUUUUUCUCUGCCCUUUCUAUCCCUUAUAAGUGGUUAUAAGUAGUACUAGGUAGGCUAAGCUAAGUUCUUGUAUGGUAUUAUUGUAGUAAGUCCGUUUUUAUAUUGUAAAUAAUAUUCUGUUAUGUUUGUAUUGAUUUUUAUUGUUUUAUAUUGUAUUACAUUGUAUUCCUAUAAUUUGUGCAUUGAUUUUUAUUGUUUCAUAUUAACAUUGUAUGAUUUCGGCCUGCAGUGUGGGUUGGCAUGCGUGAUGUCAAGUAUCCAUUUUGUGUGUCAGGUUCCCAUCUUGUUCCUAUCUUGUCCCCAUGCCCUGCUGUGUAAGUAUGUUGUAACCCAUGACUCACACCUACCCCUCCUAUGUAACUUGGUUCCUGAAUGAAUGGGGAUGAAUGAGGAUGCUUGUGAGACAAUGUCAGUAGGUCUAAAAAUAGCUCCCUCUCAAUGACCAAACCAUCAACUUGAUGACCCAGCCAUCACCCUGCAUUGACCCUCCCUGGCUCAAGAUUUGGAAGACAAAGACUGCUGCAGAAAUCAGUCAACCCACCAUCACAGACACCUGAAACUGCAUGUCCUUACCUAGGAGUGCACUUGCUCAGUACACCAGGGGCUGACUCUUGCCUGGGCAUGCCCCUGUCACUAGGGUCAUAGGUAGUCUGUCCCAUAAAAAGGGGUAGUGAAGACAGACCCAGUGGGACACCCUCUCCAUCAGGACCAGCACCACAACACCUAUCCACCCAGGGGCCUUGCCGGUGACUCCCUCUGGACAACGCUUGCUGGACAAAGACCCCUUCCCAGCCUGGAUAGGUAGCUAUCACCCCCACCCUCUCUUCAACCAAGGACUUGGACUCUGUUUUUCUUCCCUACCUGGACUCCAGCCCUUCCACUGAGUCUCUUUCUCUUGCUACCAUUGUGAGUGCUUGUGUGUGUGUGUCUGAGUGAACCAAUAAUUUCAUGGGGCUGUGUAGUGUGUUGUCUGGUUAAUAAACCUGUUAUUUUGAAACCCCAAA